GUGCCUUCCGAGUUCCCUGGAACGGGACGCCAUANGAGGGUGAGAGCCCCGUCUGGUUGGAUGCCAAAUCUCUGUAAGUCUCCUUCGACGAGUCGAGUAGUUUGGGAAUGCUGCUCUAAAUGGGAGGUAUAUGUCUUCUAAAGCUAAAUACCGGCCAGAGACCGAUAGCGCACAAGUAGAGUGAUCGAAAGAUGAAAAGCACUUUGAAAAGAGAGUUAAAAAGUACGUGAAAUUGUUGAAAGGGAAGCGUUUAUGACCAGACUUGGGCUUGGUUAAUCAUCUGGGGUUCUCCCCAGUGCACUUUUCCAGUCCAGGCCAGCAUCAGUUUUCGCCGGGGGACAAAGACUUCGGGAAUGUGGCUCCCCUCGGGGAGUGUUAUAGCCCGUUGUGUAAUGCCCUGGCGGGGACUGAGGUUCGCGCUUCUGCAAGGAUGCUGGCGUAAUGGUCAUCAACGACCCGUCUUGAAACACGGACCAAGGAGUNGUCUUCGUAUGNGAGUGUUCGGGUGUAAAACCCCUNCGCGUAAUUAAANNNAACGCAGGUGAGAGCUUCGGCGCAUCAUCGACCGAUCCUGAUGUUCUCGGAUGGAUUUGAGUAAGAGCAUNCNNGNCCGGACCCGAAAGAAGGUGAACNANNCCUGUNNAGGGUGAAGCCAGAGGA
rnacentral:rRNA from 1 species